UACGUAGGGUGCAAGCGUUAAUCGGAAUUACUGGGCGUAAAGCGUGCGCAGGCGGCUUUGCAAGACAGAUGUGAAAUCCCCGGGCUUAACCUGGGAACUGCAUUUGUGACUGCAUGGGCUGGAGUGCGGCAGAGGGGGAUGGAAUUCCGCGUGUAGCAGUGAAAUGCGUAGAUAUGCGGAGGAACACCCGAUGGCGAAGGCAAUCCCCUGGGCCAACACUGACGCUCAUGACACGAAAGCGUGGGGAGCAAACAGG
rnacentral:rRNA from 1 species